GGUUCCUUGUCUUCAGCGUCCCGUGAGGCGUACCAUUCACUCGUGUCCAUACAUGGCAGACUGCAUUCGUGUCGUCAGUGCAGCUAUGUGACCAAGGACAAAGGAAACAUGAAAAAGCACAUUCACAGACACACAGGCGAGCGCCCCUUCCAGUGCCACUUGUGCCCAGCUGCAUUUUUUCGGGACAGUGAUCUCACAAGGCACCUUCGCACGCACACAGGAGAGCGUCCCUUUUCCUGUAACCAAUGGGGUGCAUCGUUCUCACAGCAAGGUGGCCUCAUGGGUCACAUGCUCACACACACUGGGGAGCGUCCAUUUUCCUGUGACCACUGCAGUGCGUCGUUUUCAAAAAAGGCGAACCUCAUUAGGCACAAGCGUUGCCACACAGGAGAGCGUCCAUUCUCCUGUGGCCACUGCAAUGCAUCCUUUUCACAAAAACAUCACCUUGUAAACCACGUGCGCCGUUAUCAUACAAGAAAGUUGACAUAAAAAGUUUCUUGUCUUAAGCCACCUUGGAAAAGUACAAGUCACUUGCGUCUGUACAUGGCCAACAGCAGACUUGCCAGUAGUUUUGUGUGAACAAGGUCAAGAUGUAAAUGCAAACACCUUUAUACAGUGGCAUACCAACUCUUUCUCUCUCUCUUUCUCUCACACACACACAUACGUGCACACACACACACACACACAUGUAUCAGGAAAGAGAACUUUAUCGACGUGCUCACACUUCAAUAUAAAUUUGCAUACAAAGAUAUGACACAAUGCAUUCUUAGAUACCAUGAAGUUCAAUCACAUUUUAACAGGCUGAGGAAUGGCUCCCUUUGCCCAAUUUCCCCGACAAAUAUGCGACGCUCAUAUUGCUAUCAUGCCUCGUUAGCAGAUAAUGCUUUGGCAGUUAACAUCUACAGCUACCACAAAAAUUUAAUAAAUUUAUCAUGAAUAAUAGUCUUUGGCAUGAAGAUGUACCAAGCGUCAACGAGGAUACACCUGCAUUGAAUGGGGCUAUAGCUGCCGAGCACCGAAACAUACAUUAGGCAAACCCUCCUUUAUCAAUGUACAGUAAACAUUUGAUUAUCCCUGUAAAGGAGCGUUUUACUUUAGUGUUAUAUGUCGAUUCCUGUGAUGGAGGAAUCAACCAUGUUUUUUUCAAGGAAUGAUUACUGUUAUGUUUUUUUAUAAGUAUUACACUUUCUUGCAGAUAUUCAGGCAUGCGUGUAUUAUAAUUUGACUCAUUUGCUGUUAGUCUGAUUAGUAUACCUGGAAUGUGCAAUUAUUCAUAAUAUUGCUAUUGUAAUAUUACUGUUAUUAACCUAUUAUCAACUUCUGAACCAUUUUCUUUAAAAAUGUAUCAUUUGUGGUGUUAGGGACGUAGUACAUUGUCUACAUUCAUUAUAUUUGUAUCAAAAAUUUUUUAUCGGGCUUUCAGGCACCUUUGUAAAUACACCAACACAAAUGAUGUAGACAAAAUUUUUUUGAAAGAACAGAAUGUGGGCAAAUAUAACGUUAUGCUAAUCUUCAUUGCUUCCUUUCAAAAUGGUUGUUAGCUGUAUAUUGAGUUCAAUUGAGUUUAUUGCGCAACAAAAUAUGGUGGAGACCAGGCAAAAAGCUGCACUGAGCUUGAGGGGAACCUUGAGGGAAUAUUGGUGUAAAUGGUCUUUGUCAUGCACACUGCACCAGCUUGUUAUGCGAGCCAAUAAAUGACGUGAAAAUGACCCAUCGCUUAAUCACCAGCCCUGCACGACCAUGUAAAAUAUAAGAGAAUAAAUUAUUUUCGAUACGGCA